rnacentral:rRNA from 1 species
ACCGUACUCCUACGGGAGGCAGCAGUGGGGAAUAUUGGACAAUGGACCAAAAGUCUGAUCCAGCAAUUCUGUGUGCACGAUGAAGUUUUUCGGAAUGUAAAGUGCUUUCAGUUGGGAAGAAGUCAGUGACGGUACCAACAGAAGAAGCGACGGCUAAAUACGUGCCAGCAGCCGCGGUAAUACGUAUGUCGCAAGCGUUAUCCGGAUUUAUUGGGCGUAAAGCGCGUCUAGGCGGUUUAGUAAGUCUGAUGUGAAAAUGCGGGGCUCAACCCCGUAUUGCGUUGGAAACUGCUAAACUAGAGUACUGGAGAGGUAGGCGGAACUACAAGUGUAGAGGUGAAAUUCGUAGAUAUUUGUAGGAAUGCCGAUGGGGAAGCCAGCCUACUGGACAGAUACUGACGCUAAAGCGCGAAAGCGUGGGUAGCAAACAGGAUUAGAAACCCUUGUAGUCCUUGAC